rnacentral:rRNA from 1 species
GGCCUAACACAUGCAAGUCGAGGGGUAGAGUUAGCUUGCUAGCUUGAGACCGGCGCACGGGUGCGUAACGCGUAUGCAACCUACCUUAAUCAGGGGGAUAGCCCGAAGAAAUUCGGAUUAACACCGCAUAAAAUCACAGAAUAGCAUUAUUCAAUGAUCAAAUAUUUAUAGGAUUAAGAUGGGCAUGCGUGUCAUUAGCUAGUUGGCGGGGUAACGGCCCACCAAGGCGACGAUGACUAGGGGAUCUGAGAGGAUGACCCCCCACACUGGUACUGAGACACGGACCAGACUCCUACGGGAGGCAGCAGUAAGGAAUAUUGGUCAAUGGAGGCAACUCUGAACCAGCCAUGCCGCGUGCAGGAAGACUGCCCUAUGGGUUGUAAACUGCUUUUAUCUGGGAAUAAACCUAUUUACGUGUAAAUAGCUGAAUGUACCAGAAGAAUAAGGAUCGGCUAACUCCGUGCCAGCAGCCGCGGUAAUACGGAGGAUCCAAGCGUUAUCCGGAUUUAUUGGGUUUAAAGGGUGCGUAGGCGGCCUGUUAAGUCAGAGGUGAAAGACGGUAGCUCAACUAUCGCAGUGCCUUUGAUACUGAUGGGCUUGAAUGGACUAGAGGUAGGCGGAAUGAGACAAGUAGCGGUGAAAUGCAUAGAUAUGUCUCAGAACACCGAUUGCGAAGGCAGCUUACUAUGGUUUUAUUGACGCUGAGGCACGAAAGCGUGGGGAUCAAACAGGAUUAGAUACCCUGGUAGUCCACGCCCUAAACGAUGAACACUCGCUGUUGGCGAUACACAGUCA